UGCAAUGUACGCACUCGGCUUCUUCCCGUCUUUCCGGAGGUUCUGCACCAGGUUUGUGGGGUCCGAGUCGAAGUAGUGGCUGACGUCCGUCAGGGAGAUCUCCGAGGAGUCGAGGUUCUGGAAGGUGGCAUCGGCCGUGCUGAGAGCCAUCUCGAAGAUCUUGCGCUUCUCUGUCAUGCCCACGCCGGGGGCGUCGCAGUCGAACGCGAACGACUUCCGGCUAAGGUACAUGUCCUGCAGCUGCUUCUCGUCGUUCCACGAGGAGUUCUCGACAGCCAGGUUGAUGUUGGAGGAGUAGGAACCCG
rnacentral:lncRNA from 1 species